rnacentral:tRNA from 1 species
GCCGGAAUGGCGGAAUUGGUAGACGCAAGGGACUUAAAAUCCCUCGAAUGACAACAUUCGUGCCGGUUCGAUUCCGGCUUCCGGCA